GAUCCUGGCUCAGGAUAAACGCUGGCGGCGCACAUAAGACAUGCAAGUCGAACGGAAGUCGUUGUAAUGAAAUAGAAACGGACAGAGAACUUGUUCGAAGAAAGUGGAAGUAGACUUACAACAAUGGCUUUAGUGGCGGACUGGUGAGUAACGCGUAAGGAACCUGCCUUCUAGAGGGGAAUAACAAUGAGAAAUCAUUGCUAAUACCGCAUAUGCCGAGAGAAUUACACAUGGUACAAUCGGGAAAAG
rnacentral:rRNA from 1 species